AAUAUUGCACAAUGGGCGAAAGCCUGAUGCAGCGACGCCGCGUGAGGGAUGACGGCCUUCGGGUUGUAAACCUCUUUCAGCAGGGACGAAGCGAAAGUGACGGUACCUGCAGAAGAAGCACCGGCCAACUACGUGCCAGCAGCCGCGGUAAUACGUAGGGUGCAAGCGUUGUCCGGAAUUACUGGGCGUAAAGAGCUCGUAGGCGGUUUGUCGCGUCGUCUGUGAAAACUCGAGGCUCAACCUCGAGCUUGCAGGCGAUACGGGCAGACUUGAGUACUGCAGGGGAGACUGGAAUUCCUGGUGUAGCGGUGAAAUGCGCAGAUAUCAGGAGGAACACCGGUGGCGAAGGCGGGUCUCUGGGCAGUAACUGACGCUGAGGAGCGAAAGCGUGGGUAGCGAACAGGAUUAGAUACCCUGGUAGUCCACGCCGUAAACGGUGGGCGCUAGGUGUGGGUUUCCUUCCACGGGAUCCGUGCCGUAGCU
rnacentral:rRNA from 1 species